UACGAAGGGGGCGAGCGUUGUUCGGAAUUACUGGGCGUAAAGGGCGCGUAGGCGGCCGAUCAAGUCAGAUGUGAAAGUCCUGGGCUUAACCUGGGGACUGCAUUUGAUACUGAUUGGCUUGAAUUCGGGAGAGGAUAGCGGAAUUCCCAGUGUAGAGGUGAAAUUCGUAGAUAUUGGGAAGAACACCGGUGGCGAAGGCGGCUAUCUGGACCGACAUUGACGCUGAGACGCGAAAGCGUGGGGAGCGAACAGG
rnacentral:rRNA from 1 species